GCCAAGUGUGCAGCAGAACAAGGAAGAAGGAUGCGAUUUUCUUGCUAAUGAGCAACACGGAGUGACAGAUUACGGCGUGCAAAGAAGCCCCUCCCCCCUCCCGUCCCGUGGAACUAUUUCUGCUCUCCCGGCGUGUGUCGCCGGCGACUGACGCCUCCACCACCAUUUUCACUUCAGAAGAAGGCGGCUCCAUUUUUCAGCAGGAGAUGGCGGAGAAAGGAAAUAAAAGUAGCGCCCAGGUUAGAAAAGAUCUGGCGGUUUUGUUCUUUUUGGAGAAAAGAAGGAAUCUCACAUUUUCGACGCACUUUUUUCCCUUUUUUUAUUCCCCAUCUGCCGCCACGUCCUCUAAUAACCACACGUCACAUGACGGACAAGAACGGGAUGCAGCGCCAAGCUGGCAGAUCCAAAUAGAAACCUGUCAACUCUAAAAAGACCAUUUCACAUCAAAGCAGGCAGCAUGAGUGGACAUGGACCAGGACCACGACCAGGACAAAGACCAAGACCAAGACCAAGACCAAGAAUAAGGCUGAGACCACAAACAAAAGAAGACCAAGAUGAAGACUAGAAACAAACCAAUACAAAGAAGAAAUCUAAGACAAAAAAGAAGACCAAGGAAAAGAACAAGAUCAAGACAAAGAAGAAGACAAAAACAAAGAAGAAAACCAAGACAAAGAAAAAGACUAGCAAGAAAACAAAGACAAAGAAGAAGAUGAAAGACAAGACCAAAACAAAGAAGACCAAGACAAAGAAGAAGACCGAGACAAAUAAGCAGGAGAGUAAGAUGAAGAAGAAUACUUAAAAAAGGACAAAGACAAAGGCUAAGACCAAGACAAAUAGGAAGACGUACAAGACAAAAAAGAAAACUAACAGGAAAACCAAGACAAAGAAGAAGACCAAAACCAAGACUAAGAACACCAAGAAGAAGAAGUAGACCAAGAUGAAGACUAGAAACAAACCAAGACAACAAUGAAGAAGACUAAGAAAAAAAAGAAGACCAAGAAAAGAAGAAGACUAAUAAGACAACAAAGACAAAGAAGAAGACUAUCAAGAAAACCAACUCAAAGAAGAAGAGUAACAAGAAAACCAAGACAAAGAAGAAGACUAACAAGAAAACCAAGUCAAAGAAGAACACGAAAAACAAGACCAAAACAAAGAAGACCAAGACUAAGAAGAAGACCGAGAUAAAUAAGCAGGAGAGUAAGAUGAAGAAGAAUACUUAAAAAAGGCCAAAAACAAAGGCUAAGACCAAGACAAAUAGGAAGACGUACAAGACAAAAAAGAAAACAAACAGGAAAACCAAGACAAAGAAGAAGACCAAAACCAAGAAGACGACCAAGACUAAGAAGAACACCAAGAAGAAGAAGUAGACCAAGAUGAAGACUAGAAACAAACCAAGACAACAAUGAAGAAGACUAAGAAAAAAAAGAAGACCAAGAAAAGAAGAAGACUAAUAAGACAACAAAGACAAAGAAGAAGACUAUCAAGAAAACCAACUCAAAGAAGAAGAGUAACAAGAAAACCAAGACAAAGAAGAAGACUAACAAGAAAACCAAGUCAAAGAAGAGCACGAAAAACAAGACCAAAACAAAGAAGACCAAGACUAAGAAGAAGACCGAGACAAAUAAGUAGGAGAGUAAGAUGAAGAAGAAUACUUAAAAAAGGCCAAAAACAAAGGCUAAGACCAAGACAAAUAGGAAGACGUACAAGACAAAAAAGAAAACUAACAGGAAAACCAAGACAAAGAAGACCAAAACCAAGAAGACGACCAAGACUAAGAACACCAAGAAGAAGACCAAGAUGAAGACUAGAAACAAACCAAGACAACAAAGAAGAAGACUAAGAAAAAAAAAGAAGACCAAGAAAAGAAGACUAAUAAGACAACAAAGACAAAGAAGAAGACUAUCAAGAAAACCAACUCAAAGAAGAAGAGUAACAAGAAAACCAAGACAAAGAAGAAAUCCUACCAUAAAACCAAGUCAAAGAGGAAGACGAAAAACAAGAGCAAAACGAAGAAGACCAAGACAAAAAACAAGACCAAGACAAAUAAGAAGUAAAAGAAGGAGAGUAAGAUGAAGAAGACUUAAAGCAAGUUCAAAACAAAGACCAAGAUCAAGACGAAUAAGAAAACUAACUAGAAAACCAAGACAAAGAAGAAGACAAUAAGAGAGUAAGAUGAAGAAGACUUAAAAAGGCCCAAACAAAGGCUGAGACAAUAGUAAGGCUGAGACCAAGAACAAGAAGAACACUAAUAUGAAGUCUGGAAACAAACAAAGACAAAGAAGAACACUAAGACACAAAAAAAGACCAAGACAAAGAAGAACAAAAAAACAAAGAAAAAAAAACAAGACUAAGAAGAUGACUAACAAGAAAACAAAUACAAAGAAGAAGGUGACUAACAAGAAAACAAAUACAAAGAAGAAAACGACUAACAAGAAAACCAAGACAAAGCAGAAGACUAACAAGAUAACAAAGUCAAAGAAGAAGACGAAAAAGAAGACCAAAACGAAGAAGACCAAGACUAAGAAGGAGACGAAAAAAAAAACAAUACAAAGAAGAAAACUAAGACAAAAAAUAAGACAAAGAAAAAAGAAAAACAACAAGGCCAAGACCAAGACAAAGAAAAAGACGAAAACAAAGAAGAAAACCAAGACAAAGAAAAACACUAACAAGAAAACAAAUACAAAGAAGACUAACAAGAAAACCAAGUCCAAGAAGAAGACGAAAAAGAAGACCAAAACGAAGAACACCAAGACUAAGAAGAAGACCAAGACAAAUUAGAAGAAAAAGGAGAAAAA